AACGAACGAUGGCGGCAUGCCUAACACAUGCAAGUCGAACGAACUCUUCGGAGUUAGUGGCGCACGGGUGCGUAACGCGUGGGAAUCUGCCCUUGGGUACGGAAUAACUCAGAGAAAUUUGUGCUAAUACCGUAUAAUGACUUCGGUCCAAAGAUUUAUCGCCCAAGGAUGAGCCCGCGUAAGAUUAGCUAGUUGGUGGGGUAAAAGCCUACCAAGGCGACGAUCUUUAGCUGGUCUGAGAGGAUGAUCAGCCACACUGGGACUGAGACACGGCCCAGACUCCUACGGGAGGCAGCAGUGGGGAAUAUUGGACAAUGGGCGAAAGCCUGAUCCAGCAAUGCCGCGUGAGUGAUGAAGGCCUUAGGGUUGUAAAGCUCUUUUACCCGGGAUGAUAAUGACAGUACCGGGAGAAUAAGCUCCGGCUAACUCCGUGCCAGCAGCCGCGGU
rnacentral:rRNA from 1 species